AAAGUUACAACAUGAUCCAAUGGCUGGAAGUAGAAGCUCGACAAAUUCAGACCGGAAAUAAGUUGCACAUUUUUAACAGUGAGAGUCAUUAACCAUUGGAACAAUUUGCCAACGAUUGUGGU